rnacentral:misc_RNA from 1 species
AGCAGCCGCGGUAAUUCCAGCUCCAAUAGCGUAUAUUAAAGUUGUUGCAGUUAAAAAGCUCGUAGUUGAAUUUCGGGAUUGACACAUCGGUCGUGCCUUAAGGGGUAUGAACUGGUGUAGUCAAUUUCUCACCUUCUGGAGAACCGCGAUGCCCUUAAUUGGGUGCCGCGGGGAACCGGGACCUUUACUUUGAAAAAUUAGAGUGUUUAAAGCAGGCAUUUUGCUUGAAUACAUUAGCAUGGAAUAAUAAAAUAGGACGGCAUGAUUCUAUUUUGUUGGUUUCUAGGAUCACCGUAAUGAUUAAUAGGGAUAGUUGGGGGCAUUAGUAUUCAAUUGUCAGAGGUGAAAUUCUUGGAUUUAUUGAAGACUAACUACUGCGAAAGCAUUUGCCAAGGAUGUUUUCAUUAAUCAAGAACGAAAGUUAGGGGAUCGAAGACGAUCAGAUACCGUCGUAGUCUUAACCAUAAACUAUGCCGACUAGGAAUCAGACGAUGUUAAUUUUUAAUGUACUCGUUUGGCA